rfam:Myotis davidii contig190905, whole genome shotgun sequence.
GGUGGUUCUUGGAUGAUGCACCCUGGAAUCAGGCUCCCUUCUCUCUGGUUCCGGUUGCGUCAUCCAAGAACCGGA